rnacentral:rRNA from 1 species
UGCGCAGGCGGAAUAUUAAGUCAGUGGUGAAAUCUCUCGGCUCAACCGAGAAACUGCCAUUGAAACUGAUAAUCUUGAGUAUAGUUGUAGUAGGCGGAAUAUAGCAUGUAGCGGUGAAAUGCUUAGAUAUGCUAUAGAACACCGAUCGCGAAGGCAGCUUACUAAACUAUUACUGACGCUCAUGCACGAAAGCGUGGGGAGCAAACAGGAUUAGAUACCCUGGUAGUCC